CGGCCUUUCUUCCUUAGCUAACUACGGCAGGCUGGACACGUGUGCGUCCAACUUCCAGUGUGUUCCAUGUGAAGAUUCCUUUAGAAGAUGUUGCCGGUGUAGCAAACGGGAGUUCGCCAGGAAACCAGAUCAGAGAUGGUGUUGGAGCUGUUGUCCAGCUGUUCUCUUAUCAGGUAAGGUAUGUGGUGUUGUGUGUUCCUGGAGUGAGACAGCCACCUGGUCUAGAAGCUGGCCUUGCUUCAGAGAAGUUAAUGCACAACAUAUGAUGUCCUAUGACUGGUCAAACUAUGUACUGAACACCUUGAGAUUUGUCAUUGAAAAUUAAAUAAAGAGUUCUAAAUGAGA